GAUGGAACGCAGCGAAAUGCGAUAAGUAGUGUGAAUUGCAGAAUUUAGUGAAUCAUCGAAUCUUUGAACGCACAUUGCGCCCUAUAGUAUUCUGUAGGGCAUGCCUGUUCGAGCGUUAUUGAGACCUCAAGCUCUGCUUGGAAAUGGGCGCUUGUCUUGCCUUGCAGACUCGCCUUAAAACCAUUGGCAGCUGAUUUACAAUGUUUGGUGCACAGUACAUGAGCCCAAGUGUUGCAAUGAGUGGCCCAAAAGUAUACAAUAGAAGCUUAACCUCGGAUCAGGUAGGGAUACCCGCUGAACUUAAGCAUAUCAAUAAGCGGAGGA
rnacentral:misc_RNA from 1 species